UACGGGAGGCAGCAGUGAGGAAUAUUGGUCAAUGGGCGCGAGCCUGAACCAGCCAAGUAGCGUGCAGGACGACGGCCCUAUGGGUUGUAAACUGCUUUUAUGCGGGGAUAAAGUUCACUACGUGUAGUGUUUUGUAGGUACCGCAUGAAUAAGGACCGGCUAAUUCCGUGCCAGCAGCCGCGGUAAU
rnacentral:rRNA from 1 species